UGGGGAAUUUUGGACAAUGGGCGAAAGCCUGAUCCAGCAAUGCCGCGUGUGUGAAGAAGGCCUUCGGGUUGUAAAGCACUUUUGUCCGGAAAGAAAUCCUUGGCUCUAAUACAGUCGGGGGAUGACGGUACCGGAAGAAUAAGCACCGGCUAACUACGUGCCAGCAGCCGCGGUAAUACGUAGGGUGCAAGCGUUAAUCGGAAUUACUGGGCGUAAAGCGUGCGCAGGCGGUUUGCUAAGACCGAUGUGAAAUCCCCGGGCUCAACCUGGGAACUGCAUUGGUGACUGGCAGGCUAGAGUAUGGCAGAGGGGGGUUAGAAUUCCACGUGUAGCAGUGAAAUGCGUAGAGAUGUGGAGGAAUACCGAUGGCGAAGGCAGCCCCCUGGGCCAAUACUGACGCUCAUGCACGAAAGCGUGGGGAGCAAACAGGAUUAGAUACCCUGGUAGUCCACGCCCUAAACGAUGUCAACUAGUUGUUGGGGAUUCAUUUCCUUAGUAACGUAGCUAACGCGUGAAGUUGACCGCCUGGGGGAGUACGGUCGCAAGAUUAAAACUCAAAGGAAUUGACGGGGUCAUAGCUG
rnacentral:rRNA from 1 species